ACUUAAGGCUAAAUACCCAAAAGGCAUUAAAUUCUGUCUGAAUUUGGAAGCUAAGCAUGGUCAUCCCUGGUUAGUCCUUGGGUGGGAGAUUGCCAACAAAAAACAGGUGCUGCAAGCU
rnacentral:rRNA from 11 species